GGCGACGAUGCAAGAAGGAGGGGUAGAAUGUGGCAGGAUGAAUGUUAUCCCUCGGUCCAACCCACUUUCAGCCUGGCCCAUUAGGGGGCGCUGGUAUAAAUAGUGGCCAUUUGAGUGUCUCUGCAUUGCUUGCCUGUGAUCUCCUUUUUGGUCACCUGACUUCCUCGGUGUGGUAGAGAUCGUUUGUGGGUUACUCCUCUAAAGUCUCCAUCGCGGCUGGUCGUAGCUAUAGAAGCCUCCUCUGAGCUAUUCUGCUUACGUUCUGUGACCCGGCUUACUUGGAAGUGUGGGCCUUAGUUUUGCGCCAAGUUACGUGAACUGAAGUGCUGCUGUUUUGCCUUGCUGUGCUUUUACCGUCUGUUCCCGUUGUGAGAAUUCUUCCCUGCUGCUGUCAGCUUUUACAGUGGACGUCGGCGUGGACAACGGCCAUAUGCAUGCCGGUUAUCGGAGUCAGCUGGCGUGCAUAUUGAUUGACUGUUAACUUAUCGUCGUGUGGACGGCAAGUUGGAGCAAUGCGGAGUGCCGACGUGGAGGAGACUAGGGUGCCUUGGUGGUGGGAUCCCUUGAGUGUACACACCUGCCUUGUUUAGUUUAUUAGUGUGAGUGUGUGUGUGAU